UUCUCUGAUGUCAGUAAUGAUUACUUUACACUUCUCCUUUUCAAAGAUAAAGCAAGCUUGUGACGAUGAAAUGUUGAGGGAGAUACUUGUCAGCGAUGAUAUGAUUGAAAUGCUAUCAGAGGCUGGAUACACUGGUGUACCACAUAAAGAGACAGUGCAUACUGUUUCCAAAAUUGCUCAGUCAAUUUGCGUAAUGGGCCACUUUUCAUCAGUUCUUCCUCAAAUUAUGCAAUUGCUUGAAGGCCUCAGCAGUUGUGGUCUUAUAAAUUAUAUGAUAGAAAAUCCAGAGUUGUGGAAGCCAUUGUUCGAUCCUUAUAACGAUUCGUUUAAACUUUCUGCUGAUACUUUCCUCAAUGAAAUUAUUCCAACAUUCAGCAGUUCGCAGAUUCACAAGGAAAAGGAGGUUGACGUGUAAAAGAUAUUUUGCGACUAUGUGCAAACCCUAGAUACUGAAGGUUAGUUUGAAUAUAUAUGUUGUAAAUUGGGUGCCAAAUUGUAUUAUUGUAUUUACGAUGGAAUUUUUUGAAAGUAUCAAAUAACGCGUAAAAUUUAUUGAAGUGAUGUUUUCUAAUCUGAAGUUGUGGUAUAAAA